rnacentral:rRNA from 1 species
CGUGUCGUGAGAUGUUGGGUUAAGUCCCGCAACGGGCGCAACCCCUAUUGUUAGUUGCCAUCAUUCAGUUGGGCACUCUAGCGAGACUGCCGGUAAUAAACCGGAGGAAGGUGGGGAUGACGUCAAAUCAUCAUGCCCCUUAUGACCUGGGCUACACACGUGCUACAAUGGUUGGUACAACGAGUUGCGAGUCGGUGACGGCGAGCUAAUCUCUUAAAGCCAAUCUCAGUUCGGAUUGUAGGCUGCAACUCGCCUACAUGAAGUCGGAAUCGCUAGUAAUCGCGGAUCAGCACGCCGCGGUGAAUACGUUCCCGGGCCUU